rnacentral:rRNA from 1 species
ACAGUCUCAGUUCGGAUUNAAGGCUGAAAUUCGCCUUCAUGAAGCCGGAAUUGCUAGUAAUGGCAGGUCAGCAUACUGCCGUGAAUACGUUCCCGGGCCUUGUACACACCGCCCGUCACACCAUGAGAGUUGGGAAUACCCGAAGCCUGUGAGCUAACUUUUAGAGGCAGCAGUCGAAGGUAGAAUCAAUGAUUGGGGUGAAGUCGUAACAAGGUAUC